rnacentral:rRNA from 1 species
UACAGAGGUCUCAAGCGUUGUUCGGAUUCAUUGGGCGUAAAGGGCGCGUAGGCGGCGGGGUAAGUCUGGUGUGAAAUCUCGGAGCUCAACUCCGAAAUUGCACUGGAUACUGCUCUGCUUGAGGGUUGGAGAGGAGAUCGGAAUUCACGGUGUAGCAGUGAAAUGCGUAGAUAUCGUGAGGAAGACCAGUGGCGAAGGCGGAUCUCUGGACAAAUCCUGACGCUGAGGCGCGAAAGCGUGGGGAGCAAACAGG